UACGUAGGGGGCGAGCGUUGUCCGGAUUUAUUGGGCGUAAAGAGCGUGUAGGCGGCCAGGUAGGUCUGCUGUGAAAACUCGAGGCUCAACCUCGAGACGUCGGCGGAAACCAUCUGGCUAGAGUCCGGAAGAGGAGAGUGGAAUUCCUGGUGUAGCGGUGAAAUGCGCAGAUAUCAGGAAGAACACCCGUGGCGAAGGCGGCUCACUGGCCCGGUACUGACGCUGAGUGAGCGAAAGCCAGGGGAGCAAACGGG
rnacentral:rRNA from 1 species